rnacentral:rRNA from 1 species
AAUAGAUACCCGGGUAGUCCACGCCCUAAACGAUGAAUGUUCAAUGUUGGUUGUUAAACAACCGGUGUUCUAGCUAACGCGUUAAACAUUCCGCCUGAGUAGUACGGUCGCAAGGCUGAAAUUCAAAGAUAUUGACGGUCAGAGAUACAAGCGGUGGAGCAUGUGGCUUAAUUCGACGCAACACGAAAAACCUUACCAGUUCUUGACAGUAAAGAAAGACUUCUGUAUUUAAUUUUACAUUAGCAUGCUAUCCGAAAGAUAAGCUGUUAGUCUCUUUAAACAGGUGCUGCAUGGCUGUCGUCAGUUCGUGUCGUGAGAUGUUUGGUUAAUUCCUUUAACGAACGCAACCCUUUUUAUUAGUUUAUAUCUAGUAAAUCAAGUUUGAAAAUUAAUUUGAGAGAGAGGAUAACGUCAAGUCUAUAUGGCCUUUAUGAACUGGGCUGCACACGUGCUACAAUGGAUAGUACAAUGGGAAGCAAAGAAGUGAUUUGAGCAAAUCCUCAAAACUAUCCCUAGUUCGGAUUAUUUUCUGAAAGUUCGAGAAUAGU